GGGGGAAUAUUGGACAAUGGGCGCAAGCCUGAUCCAGCCAUGCCGCGUGUGUGAAGAAGGCCUUUUGGUUGUAAAGCACUUUAAGCGAGGAGGAGGCUACUUGGAUGAAUACUCUAGGAUAGUGGACGUUACUCGCAGAAUAAGCACCGGCGAACUCUGUGCCAGCAGCCGCGGUAAUACAGAGGGUGCGAGCGUUAAUCGGAUUUACUGGGCGUAAAGCGUGCGUAGGCGGCUUCUUAAGUCGGAUGUGAAAUCCCUGAGCUUAACUUAGGAAUUGCAUUCGAUACUGGGAAGCUAGAGUAUGGGAGAGGAUGGUAGAAUUCCAGGUGUAGCGGUGAAAUGCGUAGAGAUCUGGAGGAAUACCGAUGGCGAAGGCAGCCAUCUGGCCUAAUACUGACGCUGAGGUACGAAAGCAUGGGGAGCAAACAGG
rnacentral:rRNA from 1 species